CCUACGGGAGGCUGCAGUGAGGAAUAUUGGUCAAUGGCCGUAAGGCUGAACCAGCCAAGUCGCGUGAAGGAAGAAGGAUCUAUGGUUUGUAAACUUCUUUUAUAGGGGAAUAAAGGUAUCCACGUGUGGCUAUUUGCAUGUACCCUAUGAAUAAGCAUCGGCUAACUCCGUGCCAGCAGCCGCGGUAAUACGGAGGAUGCGAGCGUUAUCCGGAUUUAUUGGGUUUAAAGGGUGCGUAGGUUGUUUUUUAAGUCAGCGGUGAAAGUUUGUGGCUCAACCAUAAAAUUGCCGUUGAAACUGGAAGACUUGAGUGUGUUUGAGGUAGGCGGAAUGCGUGGUGUAGCGGUGAAAUGCAUAGAUAUCACGCAGAACUCCGAUUGCGAAGGCAGCUUACUAAGCCAUAACUGACACUGAAGCACGAAAGCGUGGGGAUCAAACAGGAUUAGAUACCCCAGUAGUC
rnacentral:rRNA from 1 species